rnacentral:rRNA from 1 species
AUUGAACGCUGGCGGCAUGCCUUACACAUGCAAGUCGAACGGCAGCACGGGUGCUUGCCCCUGGUGGCGAGUGGCGCACGGGUGAGUAAUACAUCGGAACAUGUCCUGUAGUGGGGGAUAGCCCGGCGAAAGCCGGAUUAAUACCGCAUACGAUCUACGGAUGACAGCGGGGGACCUUCGGGCCUCGCGCUAUAGGGUUGGCCGAUGGCUGAUUAGCUAGUUGGUGGGGUAAAGGCCUACCAAGGCGACGAUCAGUAGAUGGUCUGAGAGGACGACCAGCCACACUGGGACUGAGACACGGCCCAGACUCCUACGGGAGGCAGCAGUGGGGAAUUUUGGACAAUGGGCGAAAGCCUGAUCCAGCAAUGCCGCGUGUGUGAAGAAGGCCUUCGGGUUGUAAAGCACUUUUGUCCGGAAAGAAAUCCUUGGCUCUAAUACAGUCGGGGGAUGACGGUACCGGAAGAAUAAGCACCGGCUAACUACGUG